UACGGGAGGCAGCAGUGGGGAAUAUUGCACAAUGGGCGCAAACCUGAUGCAGCCAUGCCGCGUGUAUGAAGAAGGCCUUCGGGUUGUAAAGUACUUUCAGUCGUGAGGAAGGUGUUAAGGUUAAUAACCUUAGCAAUUGACGUUAGCGACAGAAGAAGCACCGGCUAACUCCGUGCCAGCAGCCGCGGUAAUACGGAGGGUGCGAGCGUUAAUCGGAAUUACUGGGCGUAAAGGGCACGCAGGCGGUUAAUUAAGUUGGAUGUGAAAUCCCCGGGCUUAACCUGGGAAUGGCAUUCAAGACUGGUUAGCUAGAGUCUUGUAGAGGGGGGUAGAAUUCCAUGUGUAGCGGUGAAAUGCGUAGAGAUGUGGAGGAAUACCGGUGGCGAAGGCGGCCCCUGGACAAAGACUGACGCUCAUGUGCGAAAGCGUGGGGAGCAAACAGGGAUUAGAUACC
rnacentral:rRNA from 1 species